GGUUAGUCAGUAAUAUCCAGCGUAGUAUCGUAGAGCAGUUGACUUUUAAUCAAUUGGUCGCAGGUUCGAAUCCUGCACGACCCACCA
rnacentral:tRNA from 2 species